rnacentral:rRNA from 1 species
UACGAAGGGGGCUAGCGUUGUUCGGAAUUACUGGGCGUAAAGCGCGCGCAGGCGGUCUUCCAAGUCAGUGGUGAAAGCCCGGAGCUCAACUCCGGAACUGCCAUUGAAACUGUAAGACUUGAGGAUGAGAGAGGUGAGUGGAAUUCCCAGUGUAGAGGUGAAAUUCGUAGAUAUCGGGAGGAACACCGGUGGCGAAGGCGGCGACCUGGGUUGACAUUGACGCUGAGGCGCGAAAGCGUGGGGAGCAAACAGG